GGAUGUUAACGGGGGAGGAGGGGGAGGGGGCGGCGGCGGGGGCGGGAGGGGGAAGGGGCCGGCGGGAGCUGCUCUCCGCUCGGCGGUCGCCGCGCCCGCAGUCUGGAGGCGCACCGGAGCGGCCGGGGCGCCCCCCGCGGGAGCCCGCAGCCCCCCGGAGCGCGCAUCCAGCCGCGGCUCCUUCGGCCCGGCACGCCGCGCCCGGGGGCUCCGCGGACCCCGCGUCGCCGCGGCUCCCGAGCUGGUGCGGCGCGGGGCUGGGCGGCGGGGCGGCGAGGGCCCGGCCCGCCUCCCCAGCGCCCGCCCCGGCUUCUCCCCCUGGCGGCGGAGCCUCGGCGGCCGCCGGCUACACUAAGCGCGCCGGAGCCCGAGCCGAGCCGAGCCCGAGCCGCCGCCGCCGCCGCCGCCGCCGCCGCCGCUGCCGCGCGCCGCUCCCAGGCUCCCUCCCAGCGCGCGGGCCGGGGUGUGGGGGGCGGCGGGCCGGAGGGACGAGGGCGGGCGACAGGCGCGCGCUGGGAUUGGCGCCGAAGACCGGACCCUCAGCCGCUAGGGGGGUCUGAAGAUCAGAGGAGAGCUUACAUGUGAGAUCUCUUUGGAAACCCUGGAGCACUCUGUGAAUGAAAAGGGACCAGAAGAAUUGAUCUUCUGGCUUUUUAUAUCCUCCACAGCUUAUCUUUGUACAUUAAGGAUGAAUGUUCAUGGCCUAACAUUAUUCUCUGACAUUCUUUCCCAAAACGUGUAAAUGUAUUCUAAUCAUGAGAAAACAUGAGAUCAAAUUGAGGGACAUUCUACAAAACUCCUUCCUAAUUCCCUUCAAAACUGGAAGAUCCUGAAAGACAAAGAAAGACCAAGAAAUAACCCUAGCUUGGAGAAGGAGACUUGCAUCCAAGAUUCACUGUGGUAUCACAGAUUGAACCUGGAAAAGAAAGAAAAUUGGUAGAGAAACUGAGGAGAUCCAAAUAAGGUCCAAGUAUUGUACCAAUGUUAAUUUCUUAAUUUCAAUCAUUGUUUCAUUGUUAUGUAAAAUGUUAACACUAUAUGAAGCUGGAUGAAGGGUAUAUGAGAACUCUAUACUGUAUUUGCAGAUCUUCUGUAUACACUUAUUUCUAAAUAAAACUAGUGUUGGGAAAAAUUCACGACCUAGGUAACAGGUGGAAUAGAUAUCUUUUCUAUUCUAUGGAAAAAGCCUACUAUGUGCAUCCACCUGCUUUGUUAUAUGCAAAAGGAGGAAAGAUGGGGAUGGUAUAAAAUCUUUUUCUAGACAAAGAUAAAAAGCUUUACUUUUGAGUGUUUUCUCUUUUGCAGAAUAAAGAAAUGAUUUUGGA